UUAAUAUGAGAGUUUGAUCCUGGCUCAGGACGAACGCUGGCGGCAUGCCUAAUACAUGCAAGUCGAACGAACCAUCCUGAUGAUUGAAGCUUGCUUCAUGAUUCAGAUCUUGGUGAGUGGCGGACGGGUGAGUAACACGUGGGUAACCUACCCAGAAGUGGGGGAUAACAUUUGGAAACAAGUGCUAAUACCGCAUAACAACUUAGAUCACAUGAUCUUUGUUUAAAAGAUGGUUUUGCUAUCUCUUCUGGAUGGACCCGCGGCGUAUUAGCUAGUUGGUGAGGUAAUAGCUCACCAAGGCGAUGAUACGUAGCCGACCUGAGAGGGUAAUCGGCCACAUUGGGACUGAGACACGGCCCAAACUCCUACGGGAGGCAGCAGUAGGGAAUCUUCCACAAUGGACGAAAGUCUGAUGGAGCAAUGCCGCGUGAGUGAAGAAGGUUUUCGGAUCGUAAAACUCUGUUGUUGAAGAAGAAUAUAUGUGAGAGUAACUGUUCACGUACUGACGGUAUUCAACCAGAAAGCCACGGCUAACUACGUGCCAGCAGCCGCGGUAAUACGUAGGUGGCAAGCGUUGUCCGGAUUUAUUGGGCGUAAAGAGAAUGUAGGCGGUUUAUUAAGUUUGAAGUGAAAGCCCUCGGCUCAACCGAGGAAGUGCUUCGAAAACUGGUAAACUUGAGUGCAGAAGAGGAAAGUGGAACUCCAUGUGUAGCGGUGGAAUGCGUAGAUAUAUGGAAGAACACCAGUGGCGAAGGCGGCUUUCUGGUCUGUAACUGACGCUGAGAUUCGAAAGCAUGGGUAGCAAACAGGAUUAGAUACCCUGGUAGUCCAUGCCGUAAACGAUGAGUGCUAAGUGUUGGAGGGUUUCCGCCCUUCAGUGCUGCAGCUAACGCAUUAAGCACUCCGCCUGGGGAGUACGAUCGCAAGAUUGAAACUCAAAGGAAUUGACGGGGGCCCGCACAAGCGGUGGAGCAUGUGGUUUAAUUCGAAGCAACGCGAAGAACCUUACCAGGUCUUGACAUACCAUGAAAAGCUUAGAGAUAAGUCUUUCCCUUCGGGACAUGGAUACAGGUGGUGCAUGGUUGUCGUCAGCUCGUGUCGUGAGAUGUUGGGUUAAGUCCCGCAACGAGCGCAACCCUUAUUAUCAGUUGCCAGCAUUCAGUUGGGCACUCUGGUGAGACUGCCGGUGAUAAACCGGAGGAAGGUGGGGACGACGUCAAAUCAUCAUGCCCCUUAUGACCUGGGCUACACACGUGCUACAAUGGUCGGUACAACGUGCUGCGAACUCGCGAGGGCAAGCAAAUCACUUAAAACCGAUCUCAGUUCGGAUUGUAGGCUGCAACUCGCCUACAUGAAGCUGGAAUCGCUAGUAAUCGCGGAUCAGCAUGCCGCGGUGAAUACGUUCCCGGGCCUUGUACACACCGCCCGUCACACCAUGAGAGUUUGUAACACCCAAAGUCGGUGGGGUAACCCUUCGGGGAACUAGCCGCCUAAGGCGGGACAAAUGAUUAGGGUGAAGUCGUAACAAGGUAGCCGUAGGAGAACCUGCGGCUGGAUCACCUCCUUUCUAAGGA
rnacentral:rRNA from 1 species